rfam:Cucumis sativus cultivar 9930 chromosome 3, whole genome shotgun sequence.
GAGAUAUGAUGAGCAACAUUGGUCCGUGUUUCUGAAUUAACCGUGACUGAAACUUCCAUAUUAGCACACUCUGAUCUC